rnacentral:rRNA from 1 species
AUUGAACGCUGGCGGCAGGCCUAACACAUGCAAGUCGAACGAGUGGCGGAGGGGUGAGUAAUGUGGGGGAAACUGCCAGAUGGAUGGGGAAAACUACUGGAAACGGUAGCAAAUACGGCAUACCAGCGGAUGUUCCAAGAUGGGGUUAGCUAGUAGGUGGGGUAAAGGCUCACCUAGGCGACGAUCACUGGCUGGUCUGAGAGGAUGACCAGCCACACUGGAACUGAGACACGGUCCAGACUCCUACGGGAGGCAGCAGUGGGGAAUAUUGCACAAUGGGCGAAAGCCUGAUGCAGCCAUGCCGCGUGUAUGAAGAAGGCCUUCGGGUUGUAAAGUACUUUCAGCGGGGAGGCGUUACUCGCAGAAGAAGCCCCGGCUAACUCCGUGCCAGCAGCCGCGGUAAUAC